UACGUAGGGUGCAAGCGUUGUCCGGAAUUAUUGGGCGUAAAGGGCUCGUAGGCGGUCCAUCACGUCGGGAGUGAAAAGCUGGGGCUUAACCCCAGUCCUGCUUCCGAUACGGGUGGACUAGAGUUCGGUAGGGGAGUCUGGAAUUCCUGGUGUAGCGGUGAAAUGCGCAGAUAUCAGGAGGAACACCGGUGGCGAAGGCGGGUCUCUGGGCCGUAACUGACGCUGAGGAGCGAAAGCAUGGGGAGCGAACAGG
rnacentral:rRNA from 1 species